UGCGGCGCUCCGGGCUCGCUGCGGCUGCGGCAGCGCCGGCUCGGGGCCCCCGCGGCGAUCGGGGCUCCCUGCCCGGUCCCGGGGCUCCCUGCCCGGUCCCGGGGCUCCCUGCCCGGGCUGCAGCCGCACUCAGCCCCGCAGCCGGAGGACGCGGCCGGAGCAGGAACCCGAGAGCUGUGGGCACAGAUGAGAUGAGACCCAGGGCAAG